rnacentral:rRNA from 1 species
UACGGAGGGUGCAAGCGUUAUCCGGAUUCACUGGGUUUAAAGGGUGCGUAGGUGGGUUGGUAAGUCAGUGGUGAAAUCUCCGAACUUAACUUGGAAACUGCCAUUGAUACUAUCAGUCUUGAAUACCGUGGAGGUCAGCGGAAUAUGUCAUGUAGCGGUGAAAUGCUUAGAUAUGACAUAGAACACCAAUUGCGAAGGCAGCUGACUACGCGAAUAUUGACACUGAUGCACGAAAGCGUGGGGAUCAAACAGG